rnacentral:rRNA from 1 species
GAUGAACGCUGGCGGCGUGCCUAAUACAUGCCAGUCGAGCGAACAGACGAGGAGCUUGCUCCUCUGACGUUAGCGGCGGACGGGUGAGUAACACGUGGAUAACAUACCUAUAAGACUGGGAUAACUUCGGGAAACCGGAGCUAAUACCGGAUAAUAUAUUGAACCGCAUGGUUCAAUAGUGAAAGACGGUUUUGCUGUCACUUAUAGAUGGAUCCGCGCCGCAUUAGCUAGUUGGUAAGGUAACGGCUUACCAAGGCGACGAUGCGUAGCCGACCUGAGAGGGUGAUCGGCCACACUGGAACUGAGACACGGUCCAGACUCCUACGGGAGGCAGCAGUAGGGAAUCUUCCGCAAUGGGCGAAAGCCUGACGGAGCAACGCCGCGUGAGUGAUGAAGGUCUUCGGAUCGUAAAACUCUGUUAUUAGGGAAGAACAAAUGUGUAAGUAACUAUGCACGUCUUGACGGUACCUAAUCAGAAAGCCACGGCUAACUACGUG